AUACGUAGGUGGCAAGCGUUAUCCGGAAUUAUUGGGCGUAAAGAGGGAGCAGGCGGCAGCAAGGGUCUGUGGUGAAAGCCUGAAGCUUAACUUCAGUAAGCCAUAGAAACCAGGCAGCUAGAGAGCAGGAGAGGAUCGUGGAAUUCCAUGUGUAGCGGUGAAAUGCGUAGAUAUAUGGAGGAACACCAGUGGCGAAGGCGACGAUCUGGCCUGCAACUGACGCUCAGUCCCGAAAGCGUGGGGAGCAAAUAGGAUUAGAUACCCUAGUAGUCCACGCCGUAAACGAUGAGUACUAAGUGUUGGAUGUCAAAGUUCAGUGCUGCAGUUAACGCAAUAAGUACUCCGCCUGAGUAGUACGUUCGCAAGAAUGAAACUCAAAUGAAUUGGCGGGG
rnacentral:rRNA from 1 species